rnacentral:hammerhead_ribozyme from 1 species
ACCCAGCUGACGAGUCCCAAAUAGAACGAAGUAACUCGCGUCCUGGAC